UACGUAGGGUGCAAGCGUUAAUCGGAAUUACUGGGCGUAAAGCGUGCGCAGGCGGUUUUGUAAGUCUGACGUGAAAUCCCCGGGCUUAACCUGGGAAUUGCGUUGGAGACUGCAAGGCUGGAGUCUGGCAGAGGGGGGUAGAAUUCCACGUGUAGCAGUGAAAUGCGUAGAUAUGCGGAGGAACACCGAUGGCGAAGGCAAUCCCCUGGGCCUGCACUGACGCUCAUGCACGAAAGCGUGGGGAGCAAACAGG
rnacentral:rRNA from 1 species